rnacentral:rRNA from 1 species
UAUCAAAAACAUCGCUUCUGUGAAAUCUAAGAGGUCCAGCCUGCCCAGUGACCUUGUUCAACGGCCGCGGUAUCCUAACCGUGCGAAGGUAGCGUAAUCACUUGUUCUUUAAAUAAGGACUAGUAUGAAUGGCAUCACGAAGGUUAUACUGUCUCCUUUUUCUAAUCAGUGAAACUAAUCUUCCCGUGAAGAAGCGGGAAUUACUUUAUAAGACGAGAAGACCCUAUGGAGCUUUAAACUAAUAACACUUGCUAUUAUACCUUCACAUCCUGAUUUUUAAUUUAUAUAUUAGCACUAUGAUUAAGAGUUUUAGGUUGGGGUGACCGCGGAGUAAAAAUUAACCUCCACAUUGAAUUAGAGUAUUCCUAAGCAGAAAACAACAUCUUUAAGCAUCAACAAAAUGACAUUUAUUGACCCAAUAUUUUGAUCAACGAACCAAGUUACCCUAGGGAUAACAGCGCAAUCCACUUUGAGAGCUCUUAUCGACAAGUGGGCUUACGACCUCGAUGUUGGAUCAGGGUAUCCAAGUGGUGUAGCCGCUACUAAAGGUUCGUUUGUUCAACGAUUAAA